rnacentral:lncRNA from 1 species
AGUUAUCUAAUCGUGCCUACUCUGUCCACCUCUUGUUGGAUCUUCCAUCCAGUGUGGGGCAAAGGGACUACAAGCUCAAAAGCAGCCUGGACCUCAGGAAAUGGAUCUGGAGGACUAGCAGGGAGAGAAGGAAGAGAAGGAAGGUCUUUUCCUGUAGGAGAGGAAUUUCAAAGGCUUAUUCGCAGUGUGUGGAACAUUAUAUCAACUACACAUAUCAUAUCCCUAUUGAAUGAUCCCAGAUAUUUUUCCCAGUCCAUUUCUUCUGGGUCAUUGUCAGAUUUCCCAAGGUCAAGACUGGGCAGUAGGAGAUCCAUUUCACCAGCAGAUUCAGCAGUCCAGUCACUGUUAACACACAAUUACACAAUGAAUGUUAAGAGAAUGAAAAGAUGAAAAUAAAGUGUUUGUAGAUGGGGAGGGGAGGAGGGGGUGAAGGGAGGGCAGAGGUAAGGGGAAAAAAUGAGAAUCAAGACUUGUCAUGUAGGUGUACAAGAUCCCAACAAUGAAUGUAACUGUACUGUAUCCCUAAAAUGUACCAAUAAACUCAAUUAAAGCUGAAAAAAAAAAGAGUUGUACUGUAAGACUGAAGUGCGGCUUACUUUCCUUAGUAUUCAUUAUAAAAAAAUUUUAAUUGAUUCUGCAUGAGUCAUAAAAUUUUAUGCCUUUGAUGGAAAAAAAAUGCUUUUCAAAAUUUAAAGGUCCAAAAUCUCCAGGUCAUCAGAUGUGGCAAACUCCUUUCUUGAGCUGAGAUACCCAUCGUCUAUCACCAUCUGACACUGGAGCUCCUGCUUCGUGGGGCUCUGGAUCCUGGGACCUCUCCAGCAGCUCCUCACCUCUAUCCCUAGCCUGGUGAGGCCCUUGGACUCUGAAACAUGGCCCAGGCUUUCUGGGUUUAUCAACUUGCAGAUCGUAAACUGUGGGACUUCAUAAUCGUGUGAGCCAAUUCCCAUCACAAAUCUCCUCCGACAGAAUCUAUAUACAUCCUACUGGUGGUGUUUCUCUGUGGAACCUUGACUAAUAUGGACUCUGGCAUGUAAAAAUCAUCAUUAACUAGACUCUAUCUACUUCAACUUCAACUGGAGUAAAGUCUAAAUAUGCCCAU